ACUCUUCAAUGAAGAUCCCAAAGGACUCUACAUUAUGGACAAGGAAACCUGUUCGAUCACCAUGCACUGCAAAAUCAUUCUGGCUACGGAUAGCCUACAGAGGACAUUCAACACAUUAACAUCAACAUGUAAGGUGAUGAACCCAUUGGACUUGGGGCUCUGCUGGGAGAUUACCUCAUAAUUUGAUUUUAAAAUGUUGCUUUGCCAUUAAAAUCAUAAUAAACACGGA